rnacentral:tRNA from 1 species
GGGGCUGGGGCUCAGAGGUAGAGCGCUCGCCUGGCAUGCAUGAGGCACUGGGUUCGAUCCUCAGCACCA